rnacentral:rRNA from 1 species
CUCAGGAUGAACGCUAGCGGCAGGCUUAAUACAUGCAAGUCGUGGGGCAGCAUGAGUAGCAAUACUUGAUGGCGACCGGCAAACGGGUGAGGAACACGUACACAACCUUCCUUCAAGCGGGGAAUAGCCCAGAGAAAUUUGGAUUAAUACCCCAUAAUAUAUUUGAUAAGGCAUCUUAUUAAUAUUAAAGCUUCGGCACUUGAUGAUGGGUGUGCGGCUGAUUAGAUAGUUGCGGGGUAACGGCCCACCAAGUCUACGAUCAGUAGCUGAUGUGAGAGCAUGAUCAGCCACACGGGCACUGAGACACGGGCCCGACUCCUACGGGAGGCAGCAGUAAGGAAUAUUGGACAAUGGACGAAAGUCUGAUCCAGCCAUGCCGCGUGAAGGAUUAAGGUCCUCUGGAUUGUAAACUUCUUUUAUAUGGGACGAAAAAGGGCAUUCUUGUUCACUUGACGGUACCAUAUGAAUAAGCACCGGCUAACUCCGUG